rnacentral:rRNA from 1 species
GACGAACGCUGGCGGCGUGCCUAAUACAUGCAAGUCGAGCGAAGUUUUUCUGGUGCUUGCACCGGAAAAACUUAGCGGCGAACGGGUGAGUAACACGUAAAGAACCUGCCUCAUAGACUGGGACAACUAUUGGAAACGAUAGCUAAUACCGGAUAACAGCAUUAACUGCAUGGUUGAUGUUUAAAAGUUGGUUUUGCUAACACUAUGAGAUGGCUUUGCGGUGCAUUAGCUAGUUGGUGGGGUAAAGGCCUACCAAGGCGACGAUGCAUAGCCGACCUGAGAGGGUGAUCGGCCACACUGGGACUGAGACACGGCCCAGACUCCUACGGGAGGCAGCAGUAGGGAAUCUUCCGCAAUGGGCGAAAGCCUGACGGAGCAACGCCGCGUGAGUGAAGAAGGAUUUCGGUUCGUAAAGCUCUGUUGUUAGGGAAGAAUGAUUGUGUAGUAACGAGACACAGUAGAGACGGUACCUAACCAGAAAGCCACGGCUAACUACGUG